UACGUAGGGGGCAAGCGUUGUCCGGAUUUAUUGGGCGUAAAGAGCGUGUAGGCGGCCAGGUAGGUCCGUUGUGAAAACUCGAGGCUCAACCUCGAGACGCCGAUGGAAACCAUCUGGCUAGAGUCCGGAAGAGGAGAGUGGAAUUCCCGGUGUAGCGGUGAAAUGCGCAGAUAUCGGGAAGAACACCCGUGGCGAAGGCGGCUCUCUAGUACGGUACUGACGCUGAGACGCGAAAGCGUGGGGAGCGAACAGG
rnacentral:rRNA from 1 species